GCAUUUCUUCCAAUCUGAGAGCCCAGAUACAAUGGUAGUCUUCGAAGGAAAAUUGUUAUGAUGAUGACUGCAGCCCUGGUGGCAUUGUUCCUCCUUGAGAUUCACCAGUAUUAAUGACAUUACCUUAAAAAAUGUGUUCUGGAAGCAGGUCUGAAUGGCAGAGCAGAGACACUUUAUUUUUCAAUCCAGAAAUCUCAUUAUUGCACCAGCAGGACUUGGUUUAGGCUUUGCCAGGAUCCAUGUGCUCCCUGCUUCGUGUGGCACAGCUCCCAGCUGGUAGGAGAGGGGAUUCUCUCAGAGGCUGGAUGCUUUCUUGGUGAGUGCUCGGGGCAUCAACUCUGUUCAGACCCAAAGCAGAGUAGCACUUUGUCUCCAGUAGCUCUCACCUCCUUUGCUGAUUAUGUGGGAAGCCUGCACUCAGCAUCAGGAAUGGAGCUUGGGGAAGGACAGAUGGAGAAGACCAUGAAGCCAAAAAAUGCACAGUUGGAGCAUGAUGGGAAUAUCUGCAUUAGGAAAAGUUUUAACACAGUGGUCUCGAGUUUGCAGGAUUUCUUGUCUGCCCUCUUGUGAAGUCUUUACAUACCUCAUAAAUAUGAACUAUAACAAUCUGCAGGGACCUGUGGGGACAAUUUUAUUCAGUUUUUGAGCUCAAUACUCCAGUCAUGAAAGUAUUUUCUGUACACCUUCGUAGGAGCAGACAGGGCCAAGUAUUUGAAUGCAUGUACCCACUGAGCUUAUAGUAACAGCCUGGGGAGAAAAUCUCCAUUGCUAUUAUGAUCUGCCUCAUCAUUAAAUUCUGUCCAGUAAUGGAGAUGAAUCAUGUCUUUAGAGCUCAUUUCCUUAAUAUUAGCUUAAAUUCAGUUGCAAGUGCAAGCAGCCUCGACCCUGAAUGCUUUUACAUGCUGUACAAUGAGCGUGACUGCUGAAUUCUCUCACUUCUCUCUGUCAGGAAGGAAAAAGUCCCUGAAGUACAGGAAAGAUUCCAUGAACCCACUGAGCCCAGGAACUUGUUCCCAGCAGCCCCCUUGGCCUCCAUGAGCAGAGGUGAUGAACCAUGGCAACGACCUGUGAAAAUGCUUGAAAUAUGGUGUUUUAACCUUCCCAAGGAUCUGAAUUUUUAUAGUAUAGCUCUGAUUUCUCUGGCCCUCAUCAGCAUUGAUCUGUUGAUGAGAUUAUGUUAGAUCAUAUUAGAUCUGUUCAGAAGGUGGAUAUGAAUCUCAACUGACGUUUCAGCAAUCUGACAUUUCCUUUCAAAAGAGCACUAACAAGGAAAAUGCUAAAUAAUCUCACAAAAAAGAAAAUUUCCAAAAAAUUUGUGUCUCAAAUAGUGUCAACAUGUGAAAGCCAAAAAUCUUCUACAGAAACAAAGGGUGGCACAGCUCACCUGGAUGAGUUGGCAAAAGUACAUUUCUGCCUUGCUUUGUCUUUCUGACUGAGGGGAACCAGCACCAACACAUUAUGAAUCCCAAAACCUGCUUUGAGCAGCUCGUAAUGUUUACAAGCGAAUAAUAACUGCAGCAAACCAGCAUGUGAUUGCUGAAGUGCUUGUACCUGCAAUAGAAUAAAUCUGUUCUGCAGGAAUAUGGGAUGAGAGUC
ensembl:lncRNA